GUGAGUCAUCGAAUCUUUGAACGCAUAUUGCACUUUCUGGUAUUCCGGAAAGUAUGCCUGUUUGAGGGUCAGUUAAAUAAAAAUCGGUGUUGUUGCCGCUUUUCGUGGUGACGCGUCGGAAUUGAGUCGUCUUAUCUUCGGUUAAGUGACUUAAAAUUUUAUAUGAUUUUCGAACGUAUUUAAAUUUAUUUGAACGUUUGAUAUCGAAUGCUUUAUUAGGUUCGGUUAUCCUUAUGACUCGCGCCUAUAAUUUUUCAUUAAAUGACCUCAAAUCAGGUAAGGAUACCCGCUGAACUUAAG
rnacentral:misc_RNA from 1 species